UACGUAGGCAGCGAGCGUUGUUCGGAGUUACUGGGCGUAAAGGGUGCGUAGGCGGUUGUUUAAGUUUGGUGUGAAAUCUCCCGGCUCAACUGGGAGGGUGCGCCGAAUACUGAAUGACUAGAGUGCGGGAGAGGAGAGUGGAAUUCCUGGUGUAGCGGUGAAAUGCGCAGAUAUCAGGAGGAACACCGGUGGCGAAGGCGGGUCUCUGGGCCGUUACUGACGCUGAGGAGCGAAAGCGUGGGGAGCGAACAGG
rnacentral:rRNA from 1 species